CUGGCGGCGUGCCUAACACAUGCAAGUCGAACGAGAAAGGGGAGCAAUCCCUGAGUAAAGUGGCGACCGGGUGAGUAACACGUGACUAACCUACCUUCGAGUGGGGGAUAACCUCGGGAAACCGAGGCUAAUACCGCAUAACAUCUUUGGGUCGAAAGCUCCGAAGAUCAAAGCAGCAAUGCGCUGGAAGAGGGGGUCGCGGCUGAUUAGCUAGUUGGCGGGGUAACGGCCCACCAAGGCGAAGAUCGGUAGCCGGCCUGAGAGGGCGCACGGCCACACUGGAACUGAAACACGGUCCAGACUCCUACGGGAGGCAGCAGUGGGGAAUUUUGCGCAAUGGGGGAAACCCUGACGCAGCAACGCCGCGUGGAGGAUGAAGCCCCUUGGGGUGUAAACUCCUUUCGACCAAGACGAUAAUGACGGUACUGGUGGAAGAAGCACCGGCUAACUCUGUGCCAGCAGCCGCGGUAAUACAGAGGGUGCGAGCGUUGUUCGGAAUUAUUGGGCGUAAAGGGCGCGUAGGCGGUGCCACAAGUCACCUGUGAAAUCCCCGGGCUUAACCCGGGGCCUGCAGGCGAAACUGUGGUGCUGGAGUAUGGGAGAGGUGCGUG
rnacentral:rRNA from 1 species